AAGCGCCAUAAGCCGAGCCAACCAAGGCAACAUAAGCCACGAGCCGAGCAGCCGAGCAGCAUGUGCUAUUUCUAGUUGAGCAUCAUUUCAGAUUAACCACCGCCUCAUAUCGAACAUCAGUUUAAGACAACAUCUAAUUACUUCGGCCCACACAUAGACUGAAUUUCAAGUCUCCAACUAAAAGACUCUCUUGACUGAAGACUUGGGGGACUACUGUUUAUACCAUAUUUAG
rnacentral:lncRNA from 1 species